rnacentral:rRNA from 1 species
CCUACGGGAGGCUGCAGUAGGGAAUAUUGCUCAAUGGGGGAAACCCUGAAGCAGCAACGCCGCGUGGAGGAUGAAGGUUUUCGGAUUGUAAACUCCUUUUGUUAGAGAAGAUAAUGACGGUAUCUAACGAAUAAGCACCGGCUAACUCCGUGCCAGCAGCCGCGGGAAUACGGAGGGUGCAAGCGUUACUCGGAAUCACUGGGCGUAAAGAGCGCGUAGGCGGGAUAGCAAGUCAGAUGUGAAAUCCUAUGGCUUAACCAUAGAACUGCAUUUGAAACUGUUAUUCUAGAGUAUGGGAGAGGUAGGUGGAAUGCUUGGUGUAGGGGUAAAAUCCGUAGAGAUCAAGAGGAAUACUCAUUGCGAAGGCGACCUGCUAGAACAUAACUGACGCUGAUGCGCGAAAGCGUGGGGAGCAAACAGGAUUAGAUACCCGUGUAGUC